GAUGAACGCUAGCUACAGGCUUAACACAUGCAAGUCGAGGGACCGGCGCACGGGUGAGUAACACGUAUCCAACCUGCCCUUUACUCGGGGAUAGCCUUUCGAAAGAAAGAUUAAUACCCGAUGUAAAGGAUGGGGAUGCGUUCCAUUAGGUUGUUGGUGAGGUAACGGCUCACCAAGCCUUCGAUGGAUAGGGGUUCUGAGUGGAAGCUCCCCCAGAUUUGAACUAAGGCACAGACCAAACUCCUACGGAGGACAGGAGAGUGGAAUAUAGGGCAAGCGGCGUUAGCGUGAACCUGCCAAGUAGCGUGAAGGGUGAUGGCUUAGGAAUCGUAUACUUGUUUUAAAUAAGGAUAUGUAUUAGAUGAAUAAGGAUCGGCUAACUCCGUGCCAGCAGCCGCGGUAAUAC
rnacentral:rRNA from 1 species